rnacentral:rRNA from 1 species
AUUUUYCSCAAUGGGCGAAAMCCURAAGGAGCAAUACCGCGUGGGGGAGGAAGGSUYUUSGGUCGUAAACCCCUUUUCUCAGGGAAGAACACAAUGACGGUACCUGAGGAAUWAGCAUYGGCUAACUCCGUGCCAGCAGCCSCGGUAAGACGGAGGAUGCAARCGUUAUCCGGAAUUAUUGGGCGUAAAGCGUCCGCAGGUGGCUUAUCAAGUCUGCUGUCAAAGCCCGGGGCUCAACCCYGGAGAGGCAGUGGAAACYGGUAAGCUCGA